CAUCUACCAUACAAGGCUAAAGAAUGUCAAAUAUGAGGGCGGGCAGGGAAUCCAUGAAAUGAGCUUCUCCCUCUUUUGCUUCACUGGAUAGGAACACAUUCACUGUGUAUAGCUGUGAGAAUUCAAGGACGAAAACAGAAAGCCACAUGUGGUAGCACACAAAGGACACACAUAGUGAAAUAUUGACAAACCAACAGUUCCCAGGCCUCAGGAGGUGGAAGCUGUGCUAGCUCAGCUGCUCCUGACUUACCACAAGCAAGUAAGCUCCUCGGUGAAACAACAACCCCGGUACCAUCGGGACAGACGAGGCUACCAGCAUUUGACAGUUUAGGCUUUGUAGUUUUGUAAUCUUAUAAUUCCUUUGCCAACGGCUCGGGAGCUUGGAGCAGCACCUCAAACUUGUCGCCUGGCAAGACGUUUUCCUUUCCCUGACUGCAGUUCAACAUCCAAACCGCACAGUAGAAGGCCUGCCACUACCACCACUGAUGGAAAAAAUUGAACCCUUACAGCAGACGUUCCCUACAAAGCCAGGCUUUAUUUACACGAGGCUCCAGUGACACUAUUGAGGCCAAGUGGUAUAGAACAUGGAUGGAUGGAAGAAAAAAUGAUGAUGCAUCACAUUCGGUAGAUGAAUGAAUAAUAUGAUGCACUGCCGUUGCACACUUCUCUGACGUUAUCAAUUAAAGCGGAGCAUUGUUAU